GAUGAACGCUGGCGGCGUGCCUAAUACAUGCAAGUCGAGCGAACAGAUAAGGAGCUUGCUCCUUUGACGUUAGCGGCGGACGGGUGAGUAACACGUGGAUAACCUACCUAUAAGACUGGGAUAACUUCGGGAAACCGGAGCUAAUACCGGAUAACAUAUUGAACCGCAUGGUUCAAUAGUGAAAGGCGGCUUUGCUGUCACUUAUAGAUGGAUCCGCGCCGUAUUAGCUAGUUGGUAAGGUAACGGCUUACCAAGGCAACGAUACGUAGCCGACCUGAGAGGGUGAUCGGCCACACUGGAACUGAGACACGGUCCAGACUCCUACGGGAGGCAGCAGUAGGGAAUCUUCCGCAAUGGGCGAACGCCUGACGGAGCAACGCCGCGUGAGUGAUGAAGGUCUUCGGAUCGUAAAACUCUGUUAUCAGGGAAGAACAAAUGUGUAAGUAACUGUGCACAUCUUGACGGUACCUGAUCAGAAAGCCACGGCUAACUACGUG
rnacentral:rRNA from 1 species